rnacentral:misc_RNA from 1 species
GAAAUGCGAUACCUGGUGUGAAUUGCAGAAUCCCGCGAACCAUCGAGUCUUUGAACGCAAGUUGCGCCCGAGGCCAUUCGGCUGAGGGCACGCCUGCCUGGGCGUCACGCAAAACACGCUCCCACCCCCUCAUCGGGUAGCGGGACGCGGCAUGUGGCCCCCCGUAGCGCAAGCUGCGGUGGGCCGAAGAUAUGGCUGCCGGUGUAUCGUGCCGGACACAGCGCGUGGUGAGCGACCUCGCUUUACUUACCGCAGUGCAUCCGGGGCGUAGCCGACGUGAUGGCCUCUAAGGACCCUUUUAACGGUGCGCACGACGCUCCGACCGCGACCCCAGGUCAGGCGGGACUACCCGCUGAAUUUAA